rnacentral:lncRNA from 1 species
UAAAAUGUCUGCAAUUGUCAACCUCGUGUUUUCCGUAAUCUCACUCAGCAGUUUGUGUCAACGAGUCCCAUUUCUAAUUAUCCCACAUCCUUUCGCAAAAAUGAAGAAAUUCUAAAAGUGUAUGACUGGCCCUCAGUCAGGCCAGUUGCCAGGUCUUUCCAUCCAGCUAGUGUCCUGCUGCCCUUGCAUCAGGGCUGGGUUGUUCCGGGGGCAACACCACCCAGUAAAUUUGCCAAUGCAGAGUUGAUGAAGAUCCCCAACUUUCUUCACUUGACACCACUUACUAUUGAGAGACAUUGCCAAGCAUUGAAAAAGUUCUGCACAGAGUGCCGUAAGAGUUGGAUAACAACGAAAAGAUUGACAAUCAUUUACCCAUCACAAUCACAACUAGUGAUUACCUCAAUUCUUUCCCCUCAUUGAGUGAUGCCCGAGCCAGAAUUGUAACACUCCAGGUGAAAUUGAGCUCUUUGAAAUUGGACAACCAUGCCAAGGAUAAAUUCCUCUUUUUUCUGUACCGGCUGUACAUUUUUUAAGAAACACUUCAGAACUAUUCAGGAUUAUCAGUCUGGUAAAAGUAUGAGCUUCUUUGUUGCUGCCCAACGUACAUAUGGAUUUGAUGCAGCCAGCUGAGGGCUUUAACUCUUGUUGAGUGUUUUAUGUUCGCGUAGUUGCUGUCCGAUGUGGCACGUUGUUGAAGCCUAUGCUGGUGAAAGAUCUUUCUACAUCAAGUUCAAUUGACCGUUCCUUGGUACUGAUGUUGUGUUACCGAAGUUGCAUCAUAUUUUGUUAAAUUGUCAUCGUGACUAUUGCAGUUUACCGUUUAUAAGUUCAGAAGCAACAAAAACAAAUAUGGGAUGUUUAUGUCAAUCAAAUAAUAAACAUGUUUUGGGGGUUGGGAAGGGAAAGUGGUGGAUGUUGGAGGAUAUUUCAAGUUUGGAUAAAAAUUCAGUUAAUCUAUAACCCUACAAAUGUAUCCCUACCAAUUAAUCUCCAAACCCCACAAACAUAUACCUUCCAAUCCUUCAAACCCCGAAAACAUACACCUACCAUACCAACCCUUAAAUCUAUACCCUCAACCCUAUAAACCAAUGUUAAACCUUAACCAUGAAACAUCUGUAAUAAAUAAAAAAAAUACACUACAUGAA